GUCUAUGGCCAUACCACCCUGAACGUGCCUGAUCUUGUCUGAUCUUGGAAGCUAAUCAGGGUCGGGCCUGGUUACUACUCGGAUGGGAGACCAAAUAUCCAAUCAAAGUAAUAAAAAAA
rfam:Macaca mulatta chromosome 3, whole genome shotgun sequence.